rnacentral:rRNA from 1 species
UACGUAGGGUGCGAGCGUUGUUCGGAAUUACUGGGCGUAAAGCGUGCGCAGGCGGUUUUGUAAGCCAGAUGUGAAAUCCCCGGGCUUAACCUGGGAAUGGCAUUUGGGACUGCAAGGCUGGAGUUUGGCAGAGGAGACUGGAAUUCCUGGUGUAGCAGUGAAAUGCGUAGAUAUCGGGAGGAACACCAGUGGCGAAGGCGACUUCCUGGCCUGUUCUUGACGCUGAGGCGCGAAAGCUAGGGGAGCAAACGGG